rnacentral:rRNA from 1 species
GAUGAACGCUGGCGGCGUGCCUAAUACAUGCAAGUCGAGCGAACAGACGAGGAGCUUGCUCCUUUGACGUUAGCGGCGGACGGGUGAGUAACACGUGGAUAACCUACCUAUAAGACUGGGAUAACUUCGGGAAACCGGAGCUAAUACCGGAUAACAUGUUGAACCGCAUGGUUCAACAGUGAAAGACGGUCUUGCUGUCACUUAUAGAUGGAUCCGCGCCGCAUUAGCUAGUUGGUAAGGUAACGGCUUACCAAGGCAACGAUGCGUAGCCGACCUGAGAGGGUGAUCGGCCACACUGGAACUGAGACACGGUCCAGACUCCUACGGGAGGCAGCAGUAGGGAAUCUUCCGCAAUGGGCGAAAGCCUGACGGAGCAACGCCGCGUGAGUGAAGAAGGUCUUCGGAUCGUAAAACUCUGUUGUUAGGGAAGAACAAAUGUGUAAGUAACUAUGCACGUCUUGACGGUACCUAAUCAGAAAGCCACGGCUAACUACGUG